GCUGACGAGUGGCGGACGGGUGAGUAAUGCUUGGGAAUCUGGCUUAUGGAGGGGGAUAACUACGGGAAACUGUAGCUAAUACCGCGUAGAAUCGAGAGAUGAAAGUGUGGGACCGCAAGGCCACAUGCCAUAAGAUGAGCCCAAGUGGGAUUAGGUAGUUGGUGGGGUAAAGGCCUACCAAGCCGACGAUCUCUAGCUGGUCUGAGAGGAUGACCAGUCACACUGGAACUGAGACACGGUCCAGACUCCUACGGGAGGCAGCAGUGGGGAAUAUUGCACAAUGGGGGGAACCCUGAUGCAGCCAUGCCGCGUGAAUGAAGAAGGCCUUCGGGUUGUAAAGUUCUUUCGGUGAUGAGGAAGGCAGGUAAGUGAAUAGCUUGCUUGAUUGACGUUAGUCACAGAAGAAGCACCGGCUAACUCCGUGCCAGCAGCCGCGGUAAUACGGAGGGUGCGAGCGUUAAUCGGAAUAACUGGGCGUAAAGGGCACGCAGGCGGUGACUUAAGUGAGAUGUGAAAUCCCCGAGCUUAACUUGGGAACUGCAUUUCAGACUGGGUUGCUAGAGUAUUUUAGGGAGGGGUAGAAUUCCACGUGUAGCGGUGAAAUGCGUAGAGAUGUGGAGGAAUACCGAAGGCGAAGGCAGCCCCUUGGGAAUAUACUGACGCUCAUGUGCG
rnacentral:rRNA from 1 species